AAAGGAAUGACACAGAUACCUUAUAUGACAAAAGAGCUGGGCCGUCCAAGGAUUGUGGGAGUCCAGAAACCUCACCUCUUUUGUGGAGAGUUUUGAGACAGAAGGCAAAGACAUUUGAACUGGGGAAAGCUCAGAUAUUUCCAAACCUAGAGCUGGCAUCUGCAUUGACUGAGGGAAUUCUGCAGAAGGAACUACCCAUUCCACAGUUUCCUCAGGAGAUGAAGAGAUCCUGCAUGGUUCAAUUACAGCAAGAAUCAGAGAUGGAGCCAAAGACCCCUAAGCAUCAGGAACCAAAGGAGAAAAGCAUUCUUUAUUCCCAGAAGCUGAAGAAACCAGAUGUCACACAAAUACAGUCAGAAAAAGUGCCAGUUCUUUCCACGUCCCUUCAAGUGCAAGGAGGGAAAACACCUGAAAUUUACCAGGCUACUUUGGUGGAUCAGUCAAACAUUCUUUCUUCACAAGAAAUACAGAUCCUUCAGUCUCAAGGCAUGAAAGACCAGGAAACUCCUCCAGCCCAGAAUAUUCCACAAAGACCAGCAAAACUACUUUAUAGUCAGGAAGUUCCUCAGAGGAAGCUGGAAUUGCUAAAACAUUCAGGAAUCUUUGUCCAAGGAGAACUGAAGGAGCCCCAGCACUGUAAGAGAGAUAGCCAGGAAAAUGGAGGGUCUCAAGUGACACAAAAAGAGAUACAGGUUCCUCAGUCUCAGGACAGCAGAAGUCUAGAAUCUCCCCCUCUUCUAUGGAAGGCCCUGACAGUGAAGUCAAAAUCUUUUGACCAGAGGAAAUCACAUGCUUCUGAAGCAGAAGGCCUGGUAGAAUCACUAAUGAUGCAGUCACAGAGAUCAAAAAUGGAACAGAUGUAUAACCUACAGGGUUCUAUGGAUCCAAAUACCCUUUCUCUUCAGGAGGAUGGGUCCCAUCAGAUGCACACAGAGAAGAAGAACAUGCAGGAUCAAGGAACAUUGUCAUCUGAUUCCCAAGAUCCUGUAUCCCAGGAAGGAGGGAGUCUAGAAAUCCCUGUGCCUCCAGAAGAUAUGCUGGAGAAAUUACACUGUCCAGUUCUUGAAGAAAGGACGAGCCUUUUGGGUCAAGAAAAAAGGCAUCUGGAGGCCCAAACAAGUCCACAUAUAAAAAUAAACAUGUUAGACUCUGUGCACUGGGAAGCAAAACAAAGAGAGCUGGAAAUGUCAGAAGAUCCAGGGACAAAUGCUCAAGAAUUAGAGGAGCCACAG
rnacentral:lncRNA from 1 species